AGCAGCCGCGGUAAUACGGAGGGUCAAGCGUUAAUCGGAAUUACUGGGCGUAAAGCGCGCGUAGGCGGUUUAAUAAGUUGUAUGUGAAAGCCCUGGGCUCAACCUAGGAACUGCAUACAAAACUAUUAAGCUUGAGGACGAGAGAGGAGAGUAGAAUUUCAGGUGUAGCGGUGAAAUGCGUAGAUAUCUGAAGGAAUACCAAUGGCGAAGGCAGCUCUCUGGCUCGUUUCUGACGCUAAGGUGCGAAAGCGUGGGUAGCAAACAGGAUUAGAUACCCUGGUAGUCCACGCCGUAAACGAUGAUAACUAGCCGUUGGGCAGAUUUAACUGUUCAGUGGCACAGCUAACGCAUUAAGUUAUCCGCCUGGGGAGUACGGCCGCAAGGCUAAAACUCAAAUGAAUUGACGGGGGCCCGCACAAGUGGUGGAGCAUGUGGUUUAAUUCGAUGCAACGCGAAGAACCUUACCAACCUUUGAAAUCCAGAGAAGUCACCAGAGAUGGAGAUGUGCCUUCGGGAACUCUGUGACAGGUGUUGCAUGGCUGUCGUCAGCUCGUGUCGUGAGAUGUAUGGUUAAGUCCAGUAACGAGCGCAACCCCUAUCUUUAUUUGCCAGCGCGUAAUGGCGGGAACUAUAGAGAGACUGCCGGUCAAAAACCGGAGGAAGGCGGGGACGAGGUCAAGUCAUCAUGGCCCUUAUAGGUUGGGCUACACACGUGCUACAAUGGGAUGUACAGAGGGUUGCGAAAGCGCGAGCUGGAGCCAAACCCUUAAAGCAUUUCGUAGUCCGGAUUGGAGUCUGCAACUCGACUCCAUGAAGUCGGAAUCACUAGUAAUCGCGAAUCAGAAUGUCGCGGUGAAUACGUUCUCGGGCCUUGUACACACCGCCCGUCACAUCAUGGAGGUGGGUUGCACCAGAAGUGGUUAGUCUAA
rnacentral:rRNA from 1 species